CAUUGAAACACUGGUUCCUGUAUGAUCACCAAAGUUAAGCAAUGUUGAGCCUUGUCAGUACCUAGAUGGGUGACUGCUUGGAAAUAUCAGGUACU